rnacentral:rRNA from 1 species
GCGUAGCAAUACGUCAGUGGCAGACGGGUGAGUAACACGUGGGAACGUACCUCUUGGUUCGGAACAACACAGGGAAACUUGUGCUAAUACCGGAUAAGCCCUUACGGGGAAAGAUUUAUCGCCGAGAGAUCGGCCCGCGUCUGAUUAGCUAGUUGGUGAGGUAACGGCUCACCAAGGCGACGAUCCGUGGCUGGUCUGAGAGGACGGUCAGCCACACUGGGACUGAGACACGGCCCAGACUCC